rnacentral:rRNA from 1 species
ACUCCUACGGGAGGCAGCAGUGGGGAAUAUUGCACAAUGGGCGCAAGCCUGAUGCAGCCAUGCCGCGUGUGAUGAAGAAGGCCUUCGGGUUGUAAAGUACUUUCAGCAGUGAGGAAGGUGGAGUCGUUAAUAAGCGGCCUCCAUUUGACGUUAGCUGCAGAAGAAGCACCGGCUAACUCCGUGCCAGCAGCCGCGGUAAUACGGAGGGUGCGAGCGUUAAUCGGAAUUACUGGGCGUAAAGCGCAUGCAGGUGGUUUGUUAAGUCAGAUGUGAAAGCCCGGGGCUCAACCUCGGAAU